rnacentral:rRNA from 1 species
GAUGAACGCUGGCGGCGUGCCUAAUACAUGCAAGUCGAGCGAACAGACGAGGAGCUUGCUCCUCUGACGUUAGCGGCGGACGGGUGAGUAACACGUGGAUAACCUACCUAUAAGACUGGGAUAACUUCGGGAAACCGGAGCUAAUACCGGAUAAUAUAUUGAACCGCAUGGUUCAAUAGUGAAAGACGGUUUUGCUGUCACUUAUAGAUGGCUCCGCGCCGCAUUAGCUAGUUGGUAAGGUAACGGCUUACCAAGGCGACGAUGCGUAGCCGACCUGAGGGGGUGAUCGGCCACACUGGAACUGAGACACGGUCCAGACUCCUACGGGAGGCAGCAGUAGGGAAUCUUCCGCAAUGGACGAAAGCCUGACGGAGCAACGCCGCGUGAGUGAUGAAGGUCUUCGGAUCGUAAAACUCUGUUAUUAGGGAAGAACAAAUGUGUAAGUAACUAUGCACGUCUUGACGGUACCUAAUCAGAAAGCCACGGCUAACUACGUG